AAUGGAGUGUAAGGGUAUGUCUACACUACGGGAUUAUUCUGAUUUUACAUAAACCGGUUUUGUAAAACAGAUUGUAUAUAGUCGAGUGCACGUGGUCACAUUAAGCACACUAAUUCGUCAGUGUGCGUCCAUGUACCAAGGCUAGCGUCGAUUUCCGGAGUGUUGCACUGUG